AUGGUCAGUGAUUUAAUCAAUCAUGCCUACCUAAUGAAGCCUCCAUAAAAACCCAGAAGGACAAGGUUCAAAGAGCUUCCGGGCUCGUGACUCACUUGCAG